UUUCUCUAAGUGGCCUGUGAGGGCGUCUGCUCCCUCGACCCUCAGCGUUUCUUGACUUUUCGGUCUGGCUCGCUUUUUGUUUUGAGCCACACGCACCACAAAAAAUAGAAAACCUUGCAAGAGCCUGGAAAUUACAGAAUUGAUGACAGAGGGAACUGCUUCUCAGUGAAGAUGAAAUAUGUGAGUCUUCUCAUCACCUCUUAGCCAAUUAAUUAACAUUUUCUCCAAAUAUGCUGCUGGUCACCUGUCUCUUUGGUGUGAGAGCUCCUGAGCCUGAGGGUCAUUGGGCACGCAACUUGGGUCAGAGAUCCUCCCUUCCCAGCUCAUCACCUCACCCAGACACUGGGAGCUGAGCCAAGCCAGAUUCAGUGGAGGCUUCCAGUAUGGCCUUGAUACAAAGAUUGUGUUGAUUCCUCUUGGGGGCAAGAAGAAAGGGAAGAGCGGCUUGCUGUUUUCAAAGGAAGCGGGAAGAAUGUGGAGGGAAUGGCACAGAAGACAUUCCUGCGUAGUGUUGUCAGGUCUUACUGAGAUGGAUGCUACUACUGGUGUGGUCCUUUUCCCUGUAUGAAUCAAAAAUGACUGCGCUGAUACAUAACUGCACAAAGGGCAGUCAUAAUAAGAGGAGCAAAUAUUUUGAAAUGAAGACCUAACGGACAUUGUCCUGUAGAGAUUCCUUUCCAUUCACAAAGAGGAUGGGGAAAGAAAGACAAAAGAAAGGACCAUGUGGGGAAACUUUAUGGGCCAACCUAAGAAAUCGUUCACAUCACCUCCACCUCUGUUCUUUUGGCAAGAACUCAGAUACAUAGCAACACCAAACACCAGGGGAAACCAGCGAAGGUAGACAAGAUUUGGUGGCAGCGGUGGAAUCUAAGGAGACUUUGAUGGCAUUGGGGACAAUGAGAAAUACUGGUGUAGUACCCACAAACUCUUCUGAGUUCUCUUUCUCGCCAUUUCUGAGGGCUAUGGCUAACUGCUAAUUUCCCUGAAGAAAAAUAUCUGCUUAAAAUGUAAAGACUUGGUUCUAAGCUUUAUAAGAGAAAAGAGGAGAACACUUGGCCCGUUUUGACAAGGACCUACGCUGAGUGUGUGAUCCCAGGGCGACACCAGGCGUGGCUCCCACCCUGAGGCCGUCCUCUAAAUGUCGACCAGUUGGCUCCAGUUUGUACUCUGAGAUAAAAAGAAGUUGACUGGUUUCUUCUGUCUUUGUGCACAGAGGAGAUGGAGAUAACAGCUCUCAACUAUUGAGCAUUUACUCCUCUGUUCCAGGUCCUCAAAUCUGUCAAGACAAUUACUUGUGCACUGCUCCAUCAGGUGAUAAGAUGUCCUCUGCUCUGAGAAUCUAUGUGGAAAUUGAGGCAUGCAUAAAGUCUACUCACUUGGAUGAAGCAGGUUCUCUGUUGGCAAGCGCAAAACAAAGCAUGGCCGUGAGAAGUGGAUUGGAGGUGGAAACACUUCAUGCACUUGCAGGCGGAGAACCGCUCAGAGGCUUCGGUGUCUCCUCACUGCCUCUCUUCUCGGAAAGCCCACGCUGGUGAGAAGACUCAGGAAGAGGGCCCGGCGGGAGGUUAAACCCAGUCUGCCUUCUCCCUGCUCCGGAGUUGAGGUGGCCAGCAGCACGGAGACAGGCUCUGGGGUGAAUUUGCGUCCCGGACUUCCCCAUCUUCCACAGGCUGCCAAACUCCUCAGCUCACGGCUGCCUUCCUCCAUCUUCAAAGCUAGUGAUGAACCAGCAAAUAUUUCGGAAUUCAGUAUGUUCCCUGUAAAAGGGAAGGGACUCUGCUGUUUUGUCAACAUGACACUGCAACAAGGAGAUGGAGAUUUCCACACCACGUUGUUAAUUACCUGGCAUAUGUCACAUAACUGAUCAACUUUGUAUGUCAUGAGAGAGCCUGCCUACCACCGGAAUCCCAGCGGAGACCUGGAGAAAUGAGACAUGGAGUCCUGGCAGCGCCGACAUCCUUAUCCAGCCCAUGAGACUCUGGUUCCCACAGGCCCUCUUUCAGUUGUCCAAGCCACCCCUGUGUCUCUCCCAGCUGGAUGGUAACUGUCUUCGGGUGAGGAUGGUCCUGCUCUGCCUUCUCGAGGAUCAAAACCUGGGCUCCAGCUGCCCUCAGAGCCGUAACCAGGAGGAAAACUCUCUGGUUUCUUCCUUGUCCGGUGGGAUUGUUCAGAUGCAACUGAAGCACCUGCAGACACAAGGACUUCCCGUUCCUCACAGUGGACGCUACCUGGACACGCAGAUCUGCCUGAGGUUUGGAGAAAAUUGGGUCUGCAGAUGCCUACUUGCGGAGCAGCAGGGAGGGCUGACUGGAGUGCUGGACGGAAAGUCCCUCUCCCAGGGCUGGGUAGGUGGAAAGCAUUCAGCUGAGGUGGGUUAUUGCAAUCCUUAUCUUCAACGUCUCCCCCUUUCUCAUGUCCUAACUUGGGGUCUGGGGGUCUACACUGGAUUCUCUCUGUAAGUCAUCACUUGAGCAGCACCAUACAAGGACUGGGGAGGCAGAGGCUGGACUCUUCUGUCUGUCACGUCCUUUUCCAAGUUGAAAUUAGUCCAACAAUUAUUUAUCGGCCCCAUCCCAGCACUGGGCUCUGCGCGGAGCAUAUGAAAGGGAGUGAGGCAUGGUCUCUGUCCUCAGCAGACGCUCUACAGACAAUGUAACAAAAAAAAGGUAAAUAAAUAAAAUUUCAACAUAAAAUGGCAAAUGCCACAGUUGCUUGUUCAAAUCAGGAGAGAUGUUUGGAUGAAGGGACCCUUGAGCUGAGUGAGUUAGGAAAUACUUUUGCAGGAAAAGGGUUAUGGCUUUUUGAAUGCAUGGAUUACAUCACUGCCCAAGGCAUUGGGCCAAACCGUCAUCAGCAAGAUUUAUGCUUGAGUGUUUCAGAAAAUAAGAGCUUCACAGCUCUGUUCUUUUAAGCCCAAGCCUGGCACAGGGAGCGCUUGCGGUGGGGGCCUGGAUAAUCCCGGGGUGCCCUGCUUUUCCAGGGACAGGUCUGACGUUAAUUUAAAGCAAUGCAGUCAGUCCACUUGACUGGAGUAUGGUGGCUGCCUGAGCAUCCUGGCCAGCACAGAGGGGCUCCUGCCAGCGGGUAGCAACCUUGUGAUGAAGCACAAGAGACGGCAGGCUGGCUCCCUGGCUUCCUGGGUCUCGGCUCGUUAUUGCCUCCGCCCAUCCCCUCCGGUCUGGCUUCCUGGAGCAGAAGAACCCCGAGAUGGCUGAACCUGGAGUGAACAAGGUGACGGUAAAGUCGCUGAAAAUGCCUCAUUCGGCCAACAUCACAAUCAACAAAAGCAAAUCCCAGCAUCAUUUCUCAGCUGCGUUAAUUCAUGCAACAGUACAAGCAACAGUCUAGGACCGAGACCCGCUGAGAUGGCCCGGGUGUGGUGAGUGUAAGGCAGCACCUCCCCGAAAGCCGUGGGAAUCCCUUCACCUCACGCUUGUAUGUUCUCAGUAGAAGCUUUGCAGUGUUUCCAAGGCACUGGGUGGUGGCCACAGUUCUUAAUAGAAUAUAAAAUUAAAGUCUUUAGCAAACCCUAAUAACACCCUAAUUUCAGUCGAUGAAAACCAAGUUUCAGUUACCCAUGUUUUUUAACUUUAUUAGUAAAUAGUCCUUAGUUGUGCAUCAAAAUGAACAUCUACAGGUUUGGGUCUUCUGUCUCCAAAGAAAAGACGUACAUCCUGGGAUACAUUUAUAACCCAUCUGGGAAGACUCCUGUAGCCUGCAGUGGACUCAGGGCCGCACCGUAGGAAACUCUGCUCUAGUGAAACCAGCAUCCGUUCCUCUUCUCCCAGCCCCAUGGAUUGGCUUCUCACGUUUUCUGUCUUGGGCGGAGCUGAGGAGUGUCCAGCAGGGCCGAGAGAAGCAGGAACAGGGCUGCAGAUCUCUAGCAGGACGAGAAAUCAGAAGUGUAUCCAGGCAGUGGAAAGACAAAGGUUAAGGAGCACACUGUGAGCUAAGAUCUGAAUUCACAGAGUCACAGAAAAUGAAAGGUGAUUGGGACCUAGAAAAUCUUUCAGCCUGAACCUCCCAGUUCAUAGGGAGACAGUGACUGGAGAUCUUAAGAAGUAGGCGUGAUGGCCCCCCCCCCUCACGGUGGCCGUCAGCUCAGCGAAAGGAUGUGUGCAAAGCAGGCAGCUCGGCUUAGCGUGUGAGUGACAGAAGCAGAACUCAGCCCCCCAGUUUAGAGGAAGUGCUCUGCCGGGCAGCGCAGGCGCACGGGAGACUCAGCGCAGCGACGGCGAUCUCGGGAGCGCGGCUGCGCCUCGCGCUGGUCCGCGCGGAGGGGUUUCGUAUGUGUCCGUUUGGGCGGCAGUGACCUCAAGCCCGGCGUCUGACUCCAGCCAGUCAAGGCGGCCGUUCUGUGCCCCUGUCCCGCGGCAGGGGCCUCUGGGUAGCACGUGCCACAUCUGUGUGUGUCUGAUGUCAGCUGCUGUCGCGACCUCUUUGGAAAAAAAAUACAUACCUCCUCUUAAUUUUUUUAAAUAAGGGAAGUACUUACUUACAGUUACGUUUGCUGAUAAAUUACUGUGAUCGUGACCUCUUGGGAAAAUAGAAAGGGUUUAGAAUCCAGUUCAGGUUGAGGGGGUGGGAAUCCCAGUAUCAGGAGGUAACCACAAAAUCAGGAUAUUUCAUUAUUUUGACUGUGUAUUAUUUCAUCUGUGCAUUUAUUUCCAUGUAUAU